rnacentral:rRNA from 1 species
UUUUCAUCAGACAAUCUGUGUGAGCACUGCAAAGUACGCUUCUUUAAGGUAAGGAGGUGAUCCAACCGCAGGUUCCCCUACGGUUACCUUGUUACGACUUCACCCCAGUCAUGAAUCACAAAGUGGUAAGCGCCCUCCCGAAGGUUAAGCUACCUACUUCUUUUGCAACCCACUCCCAUGGUGUGACGGGCGGUGUGUACAAGGCCCGGGAACGUAUUCACCGUGGCAUUCUGAUCCACGAUUACUAGCGAUUCCGACUUCAUGGAGUCGAGUUGCAGACUCCAAUCCGGACUACGACGCACUUUAUGAGGUCCGCUUGCUCUCGCGAGGUCGCUUCUCUUUGUAUGCGCCAUUGUAGCACGUGUGUAGCCCUGGUCGUAAGGGCCAUGAUGACUUGACGUCAUCCCCACCUUCCUCCAGUUUAUCACUGGCAGUCUCCUUUGAGUUCCCGGCCGGACCGCUGGCAACAAAGGAUAAGGGUUGCGCUCGUUGCGGGACUUAACCCAACAUUUCACAACACGAGCUGACGACAGCCAUGCAGCACCUGUCUCACGGUUCCCGAAGGCACAUUCUCAUCUCUGAAAACUUCCGUGGAUGUCAAGACCAGGUAAGGUUCUUCGCGUUGCAUCGAAUUAAACCACAUGCUCCACCGCUUGUGCGGGCCCCCGUCAAUUCAUUUGAGUUUUAACCUUGCGGCCGUACUCCCCAGGCGGUCUACUUAACGCGUUAGCUCCGGAAGCCACGCCUCAAGGGCACAACCUCCAAGUAGACAUCGUUUACGGCGUGGACUACCAGGGUAUCUAAUCCUGUUUGCUCCCCACGCUUUCGCACCUGAGCGUCAGUCUUUGUCCAGGGGGCCGCCUUCGCCACCGGUAUUCCUCCAGAUCUCUACGCAUUUCNNNNNNNNNNNNNNNNNNNNCUCAAGCCUGCCAGUUUCGAAUGCAGUUCCCAGGUUGAGCCCGGGGAUUUCACAUCCGACUUGACAGACCGCCUGCGUGCGCUUUACGCCCAGUAAUUCCGAUUAACGCUUGCACCCUCCGUAUUACCGCGGCUGCUGGCACGGAGUUAGCCGGUGCUUCUUCUGCGGGUAACGUCAAUUGCUGCGGUUAUUAACCACAACACCUUCCUCCCCGCUGAAAGUACUUUACAACCCGAAGGCCUUCUUCAUACACGCGGCAUGGCUGCAUCAGGCUUGCGCCCAUUGUGCAAUAUUCCCCACUGCUGCCUCCCGUAGGAGUCUGGACCGUGUCUCAGUUCCAGUGUGGCUGGUCAUCCUCUCAGACCAGCUAGGGAUCGUCGCCUUGGUGAGCCGUUACCUCACCAACAAGCUAAUCCCAUCUGGGCACAUCUGAUGGCAAGAGGCCCGAAGGUCCCCCUCUUUGGUCUUGCGACGUUAUGCGGUAUUAGCCACCGUUUCCAGUAGUUAUCCCCCUCCAUCAGGCAGUUUCCCAGACAUUACUCACCCGUCCGCCACUCGUCAGCAAAGCAGCAAGCUGCUUCCUGUUACCGUUCGACUUGCAUGUGUUAGGCCUGCCGCCAGCGUUCAAUCUGAGCCAUGAUCAAACUCUUCAAUUUAAAAGUUUGAUGCUCAAUGAAUUAAACUUCGUAAUGAAUUACGUGUUCACUCUUGAGACUUGGUAUUCAUUUUUCGU